CAAGCAGUGUCUAAUCUUUCUGCAGAGAUUGACUGUUGUACAUUGCCAUUCCCAGUUCACGCUGUGCUACCUUUCAAGGCUGUGAUUGGAAUCCUUAUGGCUGCUCUGAGAAAAAAAAUCUAGAGAUAGAUGGCGUAGCAGGUUGGUGCCAGAUAUACUUUGAGAAUAACAGGUGAGUGCUGGGGAAAUAGAUCUUUUGACAACUUGGAGUGACUUUCUACAGUAAAGUCAAAAAGUAUCCUUCUCUCCAAAAACAAAACAAGACCAACUCUAUUGCUUGCCUUCAUCAUCUCACUAUACAAAGUACUGCUCUUAUAUUGAAUGAUUUUACUCAGAGUUUGAGUGAUAACAGUGUAGGAAGUUAUUUACAUGUAAUUGGGUGGGGGAGUGGAUGAGGUAGGAAGCCAAGGUCUGGAACCAAUGCAGAAAGAUAAUAAAGUGGUAGAAAUAAAAGUAUGGGACUUUGGGAAUUUAAAACUGUUUAAAGAUGAGUAUUGCCUGCCUUAAAGUAAAUUAGAGAGGAAAAUGAUGUGAGAAAUGGUAAGUUGAAGUGAAAACUCGUGAAAGAUGAGUCAUCCUCAUUUCCUACAGAAUAAAGUGCGGAAGAAUUUAUUUUUCUUCUUUUCAGAAUACACAACUGGAAAAGAGAAUUGGGAAAAUGGCAACUGAAUGUGUUCCUGUUUCCGCAGUACCGACCCUCUCCACAGCAGUUUGCAGCAUCGGGGGUGGGAUUUUCACUGUUAACGUGUCUGUGCCUCCAUCUCUCCUGCCAUUCUCUGUGUGGUCCCUUUAUCCUUUGUUUUGCUGUUCAGUCAGCCCUCAGUUCUUCAGGAGGAAUUGCUCUGUGUUUACCACAUUUUCUUUAUUUACGCAUUGGUGGACACUUAGGUGGCUUCCGUGUCUUGGCUAUUUUAAGUAAUGCUGCAAUGAAGAUGGGGGUGCAUGUAUCCAAAAGUAGGUUUUUUCAGCCUCUAUAACUAUGUGAUCCAAUUCCUAUAAUAUCUCUUCUCUUCUCUCUCUUCCUUUCUCCCUCCCUCUCUCUCUGUCUGUGUUAUUAUCUGUAUCCAUUUUAUUCUGUUUCUGGGAGAACCUUGACCAAUACAGAUUUUGGUACCAAGAAUGGUUCUAGAGGAAUAGAAAUUUAAGGUUGUUUUCUGAUUUGGUUCUGUUGUUUCUGGAAUUGGCUCUCUAAUCUGAUUAGAUUUAAAGAGACUAAUGAUUCUAUUUCCAUUAGGAAAGAGAACACUGAUAGUCCAGGGUGGAAACUGUUCAUAGAGAUAUGCAGAAACUCUACAUCAGAUACUCCUAAUCAACCACUCAUAAGAAGCAAGGAGCUAAGUGACACAGAAUGUAAUACUUUUCAACAUUUUUUUUGAAAACUAAGGAAUAUAAUAACAUUGGUUGGUUGUUUCUAAUGUUGCCGGACAGAGUGGUGAAAGAAAAGAGUGAGCACAGCGAUUUGAAUUUCCAGCUCAAGUGCCACAUAAAUGACCUAAGAGCAUUAUGUAUGCCUUGAAGGAGAGUCUUAUCUCAUAGCUGCAGGGUUGAAAUUGCUGAAAAUCAAAUACAGAAUCUUACCUUGUAAUUGGCUGAGUUACAACAUAAGUUUAACUCUCACCCUUGCAGGAUAUCUUCUGUUAAAGUGAGGGCAUUGAUUGGAAAAGA
rnacentral:lncRNA from 1 species